CCCAGCUAUUAUCCAAUUAAUUAACCCUUCUCCUGAAAAGCAACAAAACACAUGCGAAACAGCAGAGUUUCAUCAUUAUUCUCCAUUAAUUUUCAUCAGAAGCAGUCACUUUCCUCAAAGUAUCUUUGAAUACAUCAAACCUAUUGACCAUUCAAGUCCAUUUCCAAUCUCUCCUUCAACACUCCAGCCGCUUCACUCCCUCAUGGAUUUCGUCCAUCUUCGAUCAGUGUCCACCGUUCCCUCCGCGCCAAAAGGAGCCAUAUGAAUCAGAUAAGUUAUCUCCUUCUUUUUAAUUCCCUCUGUAGCUAUGAGAUGAGUAACCUUGUUAGAUUAUUUAUGGAUAAAUCGAAAUACACAGGACCUACUUAUUCCUCCGCUUGCAAUUUACGGAUCAUCGAACGGGAAUCUCCUUCAAUUUCAACCUCCCUCAGCCCAAGAUAUAACCCAAGAUUGAGUGCCUGAAGACAAGCCAUUGCUUCUGCUGCAAAAACAGACAGUAUAUUCGCGUGCAUGACUGUUCUUGAAUAAAUAACUUCUGCUCUUUCGUUUCGAACCACUAACCCAGAACAUGAAUUGUUCCUUUGCCUGUUGAAUGCAACAUCGAAAUUGAGUUUUACCCUUAACCCAUUCGGAGCAGCCCAUCUGUUCGUAUGUAUCCUUCUCACUAAACACUCCCUAAAAAAGUGCUCCCUCGUUUCCGCUUCAUUCUGACAUCUUCGGCAAGUGGCGAUUCAUGGACAAAGGAAUGCAUAAAAUCCUCUCCGCAUCUUUCUUCGUAAAGCUUCUUUUGACACAAUCGCUUCCGCUAUACAAAUUGGUGCCUUGGAAGAGUUCUAAUGAAUCCUCACUUUUGGGCGUAAAGGCUGACUUAGGCGAGUUUGAAGCAAACGGGUUGCCUAAGGCCGCACGGUUUGCGAGACGAAAGGUUUAGCCCCGUGACACUAGGCAGCCACAUAAGAAACAAAACAAAAUUAAUUUUUUCAAACUUGAACUUUGCAUAAAUAAAACUUGAAUCGGAGAUCAUAAUUUUCUUUCUUCU